rnacentral:rRNA from 1 species
AGUGAACGCUGGCGGUAUGCCUAACACAUGCAAGUCGAACGGCAGCACAGUAAGAGCUUGCUCUUACUGGUGGCGAGGGGCGGACGGGUGAGGCAUACAUCGGAAUCUACUUUUUCGUGGGUGAUUACGUAGGAAAGGUUACGCUAAUACCGCAUACUAUCUACGGGUUAAAUCAGAGGUUAUUGGGAGCUUUCGCGACUGAUUUAGCCGAUGUCGGAUUAGCUAGUUGGCGAGGUAAAGGCCCACCAAGGCGACGAUCCGUAGCUGGUCUGAGAGGAUGAUCAGCCACACUGGAACUGAGACACGGUCCAGACUCCUACGGGAGGCAGCAGUGGGGAAUAUUGGGCAAUGGGCGAAAGCCUGAUGCAGCCAUACCGCGUGGGUGAUGAAGGCCUUCGGGUUGUAAAGCCCUUUUGUUGGGAAAGAAAAGCAGCAGGUUAAUCCCCCGCUGUUCUGACGGUACCCAAAGAGUAAGCACCGGCUAACUUCGUG